UGUUGGAGUUAUUUGACAGAUUUGAUCCGGUCAGUGUUAACCCAACUCCGCAGAGAUGUAAUUAAGCUCCGCCCAUGCAUUUCACUUCUUCGGUUGGAGACAGAGGAGACAAGUCAGCGCCAUUUUCUCCCUCCCAUGCAGUACUACACGGUCUGAGCAGCAAAUUUGUCCUGGUGAUUAGCUAGCUAGAAGUGUAUGGUAAGCUAGCUAACAGUUUGUUACUUAAACCGUCUCCAUCUUUAUCAAUGAUGAUUUAAUAAAGGAAAAACAAAGCGUUAUGUUUUUUUACUGUAUAAAAUCUUGUUUGAGGCUGGAGCUAACGUCUUUUUUCCCCCCUUCACUUUGAACAUCAAAGAGGCCGCAAACAACAUGUCCCAACAUGCAGACGGUGUUUGACGUGUUGUCUGUGUGACCAGCGUACCACUGUAUUUGGUGACCCAUCAGAUUCUAUGACCUACAGUUUUGGAAAAAGUACUCAGAUCAUUUACUUAAGUAAAAGUAUAUAAGUAUUACCAGUUAAUUGUACUGAAAUUACUAAGUUAAAGCUAAAGUACAAAAUUAGCAGAAAAUCGGGCUGUGAAAAUUAGUACUUUUUCCAACAGUGCAGGUCACAGAAUCUGAUGGGUCACCAAAAAUGGUGUAACACUGUCGACUUAGCUUUAAUCUUUACCGUUCUUCCUUUAAAUGUUUAUUUACUUUGUCAAACUCCCUUGCAUGUCUCAGUCAAAAUGCUGGUCCAGCCAAAUAGCAGAAAUAUGUGAAGCUAGAUGAGGAUGAAGGACGGUUUGACUUUAUGCAAUUCCAUGAAAAUGGUUAGCAUGGCUUAGGAAAAAGGUUUUAAACCACACCCAUGUUCUUUUAAAAGCUCAUUGUGCAAGCUGUGCAAGUUGUCGAUUCUGAUUUCUUCACAUGCCUUUAUCAGACUCUUUUAUAUGGUAAAUGGGGUUAAAUUGCUAAUCAUUUUCAGUUCUGUAAUGUGUGCUUCAUAGUGUAAAGUAUUUAAGGAUUAUUCAGUGGUGGAUGUAUGUAUUUAACAUGAACAGUUAUUGGCUGUGAGGCAAGAAACAGUGUUGACUUCAAAGGCACAUUCAGUUUGACCUUACUAUCUUUUCCAGUCAUCGAGAGAUUUUGCCUGCCACCUGAUGCAAAAGUUAUAUACAAGGAUGCAACAGGGACAGAAGUUGAUGCAGAAAUAUUCAGCGACCUCGUUGGACAAGGCAAUGUGGUGCUGACACUAUUCUCAGAUCAGGAAUUCUCUGAUUUCUCCUUGUCUUCUGCUUCUGAGACGUCUGACUCAAGCUUCAGCUCAAGUGCAUCAACUAUAAUCCUAGAUGAUGUCCCUAGCAAGAGACAAAUAAUUGAGGAUACACAUGAUGCUGUGUCUGCUGAACAGUUGAUUGAAGCUGUGCUAAGAGGCAAGUCUGGGGGUGAAGAAGUACUACAGGAGUACCAAACAACAGAAACCCUAACAGAUGCUGCAAGAAGAAAAAUGGUUAACAUCCUGGUGGCUCACAUGAUUGACAAUCAUGGGCACCGCCCACUAAAGCAAUCAGAGAAGAUUAUGCGCGUGGGAUAGUGAUGUUGUUCCCUUCCCUCAAGGAUCCAUACUCCAAGAAGGGCUAUGAACACUUCUAUGAUGCUGCAAGCAGCACAGGAUACAUUUCUUGGCGUCUGAAAACAGUCCAGAGGAAGAUUCGUCGAGGAUCUGCACUGCCACCAAAUAGCCCAAUUGACUUUUCUCCAGGGGGCCCAAAUUUCCAAAGGACUGUUAAUGUUGAAAGGCAGCUUGAUGGUGAUGCUUGCCAAGAGGCCAUGUCUUUGCUCAACCAUACCACAGACAAUUCCCUGAUUUUCCAGAAGAUGAGAGAGACCUUUCAGCACCGUCAGAAGCUCGUUAAUGACCCAGGCAGAAGUGUUGAUAUCCUCUCCAGCUUCCCAAGAUUCCUGGAUACAAAAGGAUUGGUGGACCAAGACUUCACUCUCCUAUUUGAUGGCGACACAUCCUCCAGGCUUCUUCAGAAAUGGGAUUUGUUCUUCAAGCCAAAUGUCAUAAAAGAGGCUAAGCGGCUCACCUCAACACCAGAGUUGUGUCGCUUGGUGCAGUCAGCAGAAAGUCCCCCGGGAAGUGAUCUUGAUGAGCCAACAACCUACGACCAAGAAAUGGCUUCCCUGUUGUUGCUGUUACAUCUCCUUCCACCACCUCCAGGGGGACUGAAGUCUCCAAAAAAUUAGUGCAUGUGAUGCAGUUGAGAGACUUGUUGUCUUUCAUAAGUCAUGCUGCAGUUUGGAGGAGCAUCUCCGCAACCAGCAGGGUCGGCAGCCAUACCUCCUCGCUGUUGGGCGUCAGAAGAGCAAGAUUGAGAGCUUCUACAUCACAAUGGAUAAGCGUCUCAUCCCAUGCAAGGCAAACCGCUUAAUUCAUUGAAGUAUUUCCAUGUUUGUAAUAACUAUUAAUUUGAUAUCAUGCAUGAUCUUCUUGAGGGUGUGGUUCAGUAUGAGAUCAAAUUGCUUUUUGGAUAUCUCACGCAACACUUUAUGUCAGAACAGGACUUGCUUUCCAGGAUUUAUUGUUUUGAUUAUGGAUUUUUAGAACGAAAAAAUCGUCCUACAAAGAUUAUUGUGGAGAGUGUUGGCAAUGGCAUUGGUUUGAAUUCUAUUCCGACAUUGUGUCUUGUGAAAAACAUCCCACUGUUGUUUGGUGACAUUAUUCCUGCAGGAAACAAAAACUGGAAUUUGUUACUGUUGUUACUUCAAAUAAUGAACAUAGUUUUUUCACCUUCUCUCACUCUAGGUAUGACAAUAUAUUUAAAGCAUUUGAUUGUUGACCACCACAAACUAUUUAAGCACUUGUAUCCACAUAGAAACUUGAUACCUAAGCAUCAUUUUAUGAUCCAUUACCCAUCUUCUAUAAGGAAAAUUGGCCCCUUAUUAUAUACGUGGUGUAUGAGGUUUGAGGCCAAACACAAGCUGUUUAAAGAUUGUUUUAAAAAUGUCAAAAACAUAACCAAAUCGCUUGCUAAAAAGCAUCAGAUGGCCAUUGCUUAUCACUGGGAAACCUUCACCCUCAAACAAAAUGAGUAUGGGCCAAUUAAAUAUUUUCUCUUCAGAGAUGAGAAUGUCAUCAACAAUGAAAUGCUUGAAACGAUCUUGUCAAAAGAUGUUUUCUCAACUAGUUGGGUUAAAGUUGAUGGUGUAGAGUAUAAAGCUGGACUAGUUAUUUGCAGUGCAAUGGAAGAAGACAUGCCAGUCUUUUGUCAAAUAAGUGAUGUACUUUUGGUUGAAGAUCACAUUUUUUUUUGACAAACAAGCUAUUUACAGAGAAUUUUGAUGACCAUCAUCAUGCAUUCAGAGUAUUACGAAGUGUGGAAAGAUGUCUACUAAAAAUGUCUGAGCUUAAAUUUCAUAAACCGUUUGAUAUUCAAAGCUCAUACAAUGUUUCAGAUGAAAGUAUGUACAUUAUACCUUCAUUCACAAUGUUUUAAUUCAACUGACUGCAAGGGAGAAAAGGCACAAAUAAAUGUUUUUGACAAUGA